rnacentral:rRNA from 1 species
UACGUAGGGCGCAAGCGUUUAUCCGGAAUUAUUGGGCGUAAAGAGCUCGUAGGCGGUUUGUCGCGUCUGCCGUGAAAGUCCGGGGCUCAACUCCGGAUCUGCGGUGGGUACGGGCAGACUAGAGUGAUGUAGGGGAGACUGGAAUUCCUGGUGUAGCGGUGAAAUGCGCAGAUAUCAGGAAGAACACCCGUGGCGAAGGCGGCUCUCUGGGACGGUACUGACGCUGAGACGCGAAAGCGUGGGGAGCGAACAGG